AAGAGUGGAAAAACUCCCUUGACGGUACUUAAUGAAUAAGCCCCGGCUAAUUAUGUGCCAGCAGCCGCGGUAAUACAUAAGGGGCGAGCGUUAUCCGGAAUUAUUGGGCGUAAAGGGUGCGUAGGCGGUUUAAUAAGUCUAUAGUUUAAUUUCAGUGCUUAACGCUGUUGUGCUAUAGAAACUGUUUUACUAGAGUGAGAUAGAGGCAAGCGGAAUUCCAUGUGUAGCGGUAAAAUGCGUAAAUAUAUGGAGGAACACCAGAGGCGUAGGCGGCUUGCUGGGUCUUUACCGACGCUGAGGCACGAAAGCGUGGGGAGCAAACAGGAUUAGAUACCCUGGUAGUCCACGCCGUAAACGAUGAGUACUAAGUGUCGGGUAAAACUGGUACUGAAGUUAACACAUUAAGUACUCCGCCUGAGUGGUACGUACGCAAGUAUGAAACUUAAAGGAAUUGACGGGACUCCGCACAAGCGGUGGAUCAUGUUGUUUAAUUCGAAGAUACACGAAAAACCUUACCAGGUCUUGACAUUUUCUUACGAAGUUAUAGAAAUAUAAUGGAGGUCAUCAGGAAAACAGGUGGUGCAUGGUUGUCGUCAGCUCGUGUCGUGAGAUGUUAGGUUAAGUCCUAAAACGAGCGCAACCCUUGUCGUUAGUUGCCAGCAUGUAAUGAAGGGGACUUUAACGAGACUGCCAAUGAAAAAUUGGAGGAAGGUGGGGAUUACGUCAAAUCAUCAUGCCCCUUAUGAUCUGGGCUACAAACGUGAUACAAUGGUUGAUACAAAGAGUAGCUGAAACGCGAGUUCUUAGCCAAUCUCAAAAAAUCAAUCUCAGUUCGGA
rnacentral:rRNA from 1 species